rnacentral:sRNA from 1 species
GCCGGGCAGGGUGGCGCACACCUGUCAUCCUAGCAGCUUGGGAGGCUGAGGCAGGAGGAUCGCAAGUUGGAGGCCAGCCUCAGCCACUUGGUGAGGCCCUAAGCAGCUCAGUGAGACCCUGUCUCUA